rnacentral:rRNA from 1 species
GCCGAACGCUGGCGGCAGGCUUAACACAUGCAAGUCGAACGAAGUGGCGAACGGGUGAGUAACGCGUAAUCAACCUGCCCUUCAGAGGGGGACAACAGUUGGAAACGACUGCUAAUACCGCCUACUGAGGAAGGUGAUUGCGUCUGAUUAGCUAGUUGGCGGGGUAACGGCCCACCAAGGCGAUGAUCAGUAGCCGGUCUGAGAGUAGGAACGGCAACAGUGAGAGUGGAACACGGCCCAGAAUCCUACUGGAGGCAGAAGUGGGGAAUCUUCCGAAAUGGACGAAAGUCUGACGGAGAAACGCCCCGUGAGUGAUGACGGCCUUCGGGUUGUAAAGCUCUGUUAAUCUGGACGCGUUACCGGAAUAGAAAGCCACGGCUAACUACGUGCCAGCAGCCGCGGUAAUAC